rnacentral:rRNA from 1 species
AUUGAACGCUGGCGGCAGGCUUAACACAUGCAAGUCGAGCGGGGGAGGUUGCUUCGGUAACUGACCUAGCGGCGGACGGGUGAGUAAUGCUUAGGAAUCUGCCUAUUAGUGGGGGACAACAUUCCGAAAGGGAUGCUAAUACCGCAUACGCCCUACGGGGGAAAGCAGGGGAUCUUCGGACCUUGCGCUAAUAGAUGAGCCUAAGUCGGAUUAGCUAGUUGGUGGGGUAAAGGCCUACCAAGGCACCGAUCUGUAGCGGGUCUGAGAGGAUGAUCCGCGACACGGGGACUGAGACACGGCCCAGACUCCUACGGGAGGCAGCAGUGGGGAAUAUUAGACAAUGGGCGGAAGCCUGAUCCAGCCAUGCCGCGUGUGUGAAGAAGGCCUUUUGGUUGUAAAGCAGUUUAAGCGAGGAGGAGGCUCUUAAGGUUAAUACCCUUGAUGAGUGGACGUUACUCGCAGAAUAAGCACCGGCUAACUCUGUGCCAGCAGCCGCAGUAAAAC